rnacentral:tRNA from 1 species
AAGGGAGACCUAAUUCCGGUAGGAGACGAAAAAAAAGUAGUCCCAACCAAGAAUCAAUCCCAAAAGGUCGGAACGAGGUAUGAGGCUUUCAAACUAGGUUCUGGGUUCAUAAAAGACCUGAAUCAGGAACAAGGGCUAUUAGCUCAGGUGGUUAGAGCGCACCCCUGAUAAGGGUGAGGUCCCUGGUUCGAGUCCAGGAUGGCCCACCUGCACAGGUGGCAAAAACAAGAGAAGCUCCGAAUCAGCACCUUAUCUUAUAUACAUAUAUAAGAGAGAAUGCUGGCUCUGAGUAAAGAGUCCAGAGGAACCUUGAAAACUGCAUAGAGCUAGGUGAAGAAGCCAAAAAAGAAGACCGCAA